GAUGAACGCUGACCGAAUGCUUAACACAUCAGCAAUUGAUUGGUGGCGGACGGGUGGGUAACGCGUAAAGAACUUGCCUCACAGGUAGGGACAACAUUUGGCCACGAAUGCUAAUAACUAAUCCUGUGAGAGAGCUUUUAGUCCCAUUAGCUAGUUGGAGAGGUAACGGCUCACCAAGGCGAGGAUGGGUAGCCGGCCUGGGAGGGUGAUCGGCCACAAGGGGACUGAGACACGGCCCUUACUCCUACUGGAGGCAGCAGGGGGGAAUAUUGGACAAUGGACCAAAGUCUGAUCCAGCAAUUCUGGGUGCAAGAUGAAGUUUUCGGAAUGUAAAGUGCUUUCAGUUUGGAAGCGGUACCAACAGAAGAAGUGACGGCUAAAUACGUGCCAGCCGCCGCGGUAAUUC
rnacentral:rRNA from 1 species